UACGGGGGGAGCAAGCGUUGUUCGGAAUUACUGGGCGUAAAGCGCACGUAGGCGGAUAUUUAAGUCAGGGGUGAAAUCCCAGAGCUCAACUCUGGAACUGCCUUUGAUACUGGGUAUCUCGAGUAUGGAAGAGGUGAGUGGAAUUCCGAGUGUAGAGGUGAAAUUCGUAGAUAUUCGCAAGAACACCAGUGGCGAAGGCGGCUCACUGGCCCGAUACUGACGCUGAGGCACGAAAGCGUGGGGGAGCAAACAGG
rnacentral:rRNA from 1 species